rnacentral:rRNA from 1 species
CCUACGGGAGGCAGCAGUGAGGAAUAUUGGUCAAUGGACGAGAGUCUGAACCAGCCAAGUAGCGUGAAGGAUGACUGCCCUAUGGGUUGUAAACUUCUUUUAUAUGGGAAUAAAAUGUCCCACGUGUGGGAUUUUGUAUGUACCAUAUGAAUAAGGAUCGGCUAACUCCGUGCCAGCAGCCGCGGUAAUACGGAGGAUCCGAGCGUUAUCCGGAUUUAUUGGGUUUGAAGGGAGCGUAGGUGGAUUGUUAAGUCAGUUGUGAAAGUUUGCGGCUCAACCGUAAAAUUGCAGUUGAAACUGGCAGUCUUGAGUACAGUAGAGGUGGGCGGAAUUCGUGGUGUAGCGGUGAAAUGCUUAGAUAUCACGAAGAACUCCGAUUGCGAAGGCAGUUCACUGGACUGCAACUGACACUGAGGCUCGAAAGUGUGGGUAUCAAACAGGAUUAGAUACCCGAGUAGUC